rnacentral:lncRNA from 1 species
GGACAUUUUAAAAGCCUAUCUCCUCUUUCCAUCUGACUGAGAUCUUUCCAGGAGGGAAGACAAAUCUAUAUCAAGAACGAGUCUGCAGUAUGAAGAUCAUUGUGAGGAGAAAGCCAUCCCCUGUGACAGGGUCUCAUCCAGCAGACUCCAGGAGUCGGAGCUGCAAGCAUUUGACAGCUUCUGAUUUCAUCUCCAAGACAUUUCC